rnacentral:rRNA from 1 species
AGUGAACGCUGGCGGUAGGCCUAACACAUGCAAGUCGAACGGCAGCACAGUAAGAGCUUGCUCUUACGGGUGGCGAGUGGCGGACGGGUGAGGAAUACAUCGGAAUCUACUUUUUCGUGGGGGAUAACGUAGGGAAACUUACGCUAAUACCGCAUACGACCUACGGGUGAAAGCAGGGGAUCUUCGGACCUUGCGCGAUUGAAUGAGCCGAUGUCGGAUUAGCUAGUUGGCGGGGUAAAGGCCCACCAAGGCGACGAUCCGUAGCCGGUCUGAGAGGAUGGUCAGCCACACUGGAACUGAGACACGGUCCAGACUCCUACGGGAGGCAGCAGUGGGGAAUAUUGGACAAUGGGCGCAAGCCUGAUCCAGCCAUACCGCGUGGGUGAAGAAGGCCUUCGGGUUGUAAAGCCCUUUUGUUGGGAAAGAAAAGCAGCAGGUUAAUACCCCGCUGUUCUGACGGUACCCAAAGAAUAAGCACCGGCUAACUUCGUG